UCCGUAGGUGAACCUGCGGAAGGAUCAUUAUUAUACAAUAGAGGUGUAAAGGUUGUUGCUAAUCCUAGAAAGAUUGUGCACACCCAAGCCCUUUUAUCUAUUCUGAUCUCACCCCUUUUGUGCAUUAUGGGUGUGGGUUUCCUUUAUAUUAGAGGGGCCUGCAUCUUUUUUCUAUAAAACUCAAUAUAAUGUAGAAUGUCUUUUUUUAUUGCAGUUAUUUGCAAUUAAUAUAACUUUCAACAACGGAUCUCUUGGCUCUCGCAUCGAUGAAGAACGCAGCGAAAUGCGAUAUGUAAUGUGAAUUGCAGAAUUCAGUGAAUCAUCGAAUCUUUGAACGCACCUUGUGCCCCUUGGCAUUCCGAGGGGUACACCCAUUUGAGUGUCAUGAAAUUUUCAAAAUCCCCUUUUUCAAUACUGAAAAAAGAGAUUUUGGACUUGGGGGGUUAAUGCUAGCUUUUAUAUUAUUUUAAAAGUGAGCUCCUCUAAAACAAAUUAGUAGGUUAUUAUGCUUAUGCUAUAUCCUUAAUGUGAUAAAAAUGUUUGUACAUUUUGGAUUUGGUAUUAUAUUCUAAAAGCCUGCUUCUAACUGUCUUAUAGACAAUGAUGGUGUUUUGGUCACUACUAUAUAUAUUGGUAAGAGGCUGAACCCAUAAAAACUUCUUGACCUCAAAUUGGGUGAGACUACCCGCUGAACUUAAGCAUAUCAAUAAGCGGAGGA
rnacentral:sRNA from 1 species